GAUUAUGGCUCAGAAUGAACGCUGGCGGCGUGCCUAACACAUGCAAGUCGAACGAGAAAGUUCUUCGGAAUGAGUAAAGUGGCGAACGGGUGAGAAAUACACAAGAAUCUACCUUCAGUGAAGGAUACCCUCGAGAAAUCGAGGCUAAUACUGCAUACGUCCUACGGGAGAAAGAUGGCCUUUGUGCUAUCGCUGAUUGAUGAGCUUGUGCGCUAUUAGCUAGUUGGUGAGGUAACGGCUCACCAAGGCUUUGAUGGCUAACCGGCCUGAGAGGGUGGUCGGUCACAUUGGGACUGAGAUACGGCCCAGACUCCUACGGGAGGCAGCAGUGGGGAAUUUUGCACAAUGGGCGCAAGCCUGAUGCAGCGACGCCGCGUGGAGGAUGACGGUCUUCGGAUUGUAAACUCCUGUUAAACGGGAAGAAAGGCGUAUGGCUAAUAUCCAUACGAAAUGACGGUACCGUUAGAGAAAGCUCCUGCAAACUUCGUGCCAGCAGCUGC
rnacentral:rRNA from 1 species